rnacentral:rRNA from 1 species
AUUGAACGCUGGCGGCAGGCCUAACACAUGCAAGUCGAGCGGUAGAGAGGUGCUUGCACCUCUUGAGAGCGGCGGACGGGUGAGUAAUGCCUAGGAAUCUGCCUGGUAGUGGGGGAUAACGCUCGGAAACGGACGCUAAUACCGCAUACGUCCUACGGGAGAAAGCAGGGGACCUCCGGGCCUUGCGCUAUCAGAUGAGCCUAGGUGGGAUUAGCUAGUUGGUGGGGUAAUGGCUCACCAAGGCGACGAUCCGUAACUGGUCUGAGAGGAUGAUCAGUCACACUGGAACUGAGACACGGUCCAGACUCCUACGGGAGGCAGCAGUGGGGAAUAUUGGACAAUGGGCGAAAGCCUGAUCCAGCCAUGCCGCGUGUGUGAAGAAGGUCUUCGGAUUGUAAAGCACUUUAAGUUGGGAGGAAGGGUCGUUACCUAAUACGUGACGAUUUUGACGUUACCGACAGAAUAAGCACCGGCUAACUCUGUGCCAGCCGCCGCGGUAAUAC